rnacentral:rRNA from 1 species
CCUACGGGUGGCAGCAGUAGGGAAUAUUGCUCAAUGGGGGAAACCCUGAUGCAGCGACGCCGCGUGAAGGAAGAAGGUUUUCGGAUUGUAAAGCCCUAUUAGCAGGGAAGAUAAUGACGGUAUCUGACGAAGAAGCACCGGCUAACUCCGUGCCAGCAGCCGCGGUAAUACGGAGGGUGCAAGCGUUACUCGGACUCACUGGGCGUAAAGAGCGCGUAGGCGGGAUAGCAAGUCUGAGGUGAAAGCCUAGGGCUUAACCCUGGGACUGCAUUUGAAACUGUUAUGCUAGAGUACAGGAGAGGUAGGUGGAAUUCUUGGUGUAGGGGUGAAAUCCGUAGAGAUUAAGAGGAAUACUCGUGGCGAAGGCGACCUGCUAGAACAUAACUGACGCUGAGGCGCGAAAGCGUGGGGAGCAAACAGGAUUAGAUACCCGAGUAGUC